UCCCUGGUGGUCCAGUGGUUAGGACUCUGCACUUUGACUGCUGGGGGUGCAGGUUCAAUCCCUGGUCAGGGAA